AUCUGUCCCCCACAGGCAAUGUACAGUGGAGGAACAGGGCCAGAACAACCACACAGAAACAACCACACACUUCCAUUCUGACAGGGAGAAAUGGAAGCCAGCAGCAGGCACUGACUGAUGUGUUGUCUCUGAAGUUAUUCCUGGGCAAACACCAGAGGGGCCUCUUUCCUAGGCAAGAGUCAGCAUCAUGUCUUUGCUCAGCUGAGAACUUGACCCCUUCUACAGAGAUCCUGCCUGAUUGCCAACCUUGUGACAGACAGAAGGGAGGAGCAGACCCAGGGAGGAGCAGGACAACACCAUGGAGAAGACAGGGCCAUGGGACAGGUUCCAGGUGCAGCUGAAGGGCCAUCUGGACACCCACUCCCAUUCACUUGCGUCAGAGUGACCAAGCCCCAGUAGGGGGCGGUGAGCUGCAGGUGCCGGCCCAGGAGGGACUCGCCCACAACUUCCUCCUUCCUGCCCAGCUCAGCGUUUACUUAGCAGAGCUGCCUGGUACAGAGAGGGCACUCACCUUUCCCACCACCAGCCCCAUUCGUCCACCAUCUUCCCCUGCCAUGCUUAACUGAAUUUCUCAAGGGAGGCAUUUUUCUUUCUACUUUAGCUGUAGACAGCAACCAAAGCUCCACGCUGCCUCAGGACCAUCCCUCCGAUCGGACCUCUUCUCCCCCCUCUCUGGAAGUGGACCAGGCCACUAUUUCCUCGCUCCCCUCGGGUAGAUGCCACGCAGUGCUAUCAGAGUUCACGUCCUGAAAGAAAUUGAAGUCGGCU